AGCGAACGCUGGCGGCAGGCUUAACACAUGCAAGUCGAGCGGGCGUAGCAAUACGUCAGCGGCAGACGGGUGAGUAACGCGUGGGAACGUACCUUUUGGUUCGGAACAACCCAGGGAAACUUGGGCUAAUACCGGAUAAGCCCUUACGGGGAAAGAUUUAUCGCCGAAAGAUCGGCCCGCGUCUGAUUAGCUAGUUGGUGAGGUAACGGCUCACCAAGGCGACGAUCAGUAGCUGGUCUGAGAGGAUGAUCAGCCACAUUGGGACUGAGACACGGCCCAAACUCCUACGGGAGGCAGCAGUGGGGAAUAUUGGACAAUGGGCGCAAGCCUGAUCCAGCCAUGCCGCGUGAGUGAUGAAGGCCCUAGGGUUGUAAAGCUCUUUGUGCGGGAAGAUAAUGACGGUACGCAAGAAUAA
rnacentral:rRNA from 1 species